CUUGUAUUUCUAUGCUUAAAGGCAGUGACUGUAGACACAUUUAAAGAGGAGAGCCCAACAACAGCAAUCUGCUGAUCACAAACAAACACAACACACCAAACCAUAGCAGUAUGAGCUCAAAGGGUGGCACUGUCCUGUCCCGACGCAGCUAUCGCCUGGCAUCCGACACAGACAAACCCAAAGUCACAGGAAUUGUGAAUGAGAAGCUACUGAGCGACUAUCUGCACCAUGUGUUUCCUGCCUCCAGUAAGACGGGACCGGCAUCAGCGGCG